AGAGUUUGAUCCUGGCUCAGGAUGAACGCUAGCGGCAGGCUUAACACAUGCAAGUCGAGGGGUAACGAUAUCUUCGGAUAGGCGACGACCGGCGCACGGGGGAGUAACGCGUAUGGCAACCUACCUUCAACUGGGGGAUAGCCCAGGGAAACUUGGAUUAAUACCCCAUAGUACACCACCAUCGCAUGAUGGAGGUGUUAAAGCUCCGGCGGUUGGAGAUGGGCAUGCGUGCCAUUAGAUAGUUGGUAAGGUAACGGCUUACCAAGUCUGCGAUGGCUACGGGGUCUUAAAGGAUGAUCCCGCACACUGGUACUGAGACACGGACCAGACUCCUACGGGAGGCAGCAGUGAGGAAUAUUGGGCAAUGGGGGCAACCCUGACCCAGCCAUGCCGCGUGCAGGAAGACGGCCCUAUGGGUUGUAAACUGCUUUUGUACGGGAAUAAAAGUUUCUACGUGUAGAGAUUUGAAGGUACCGUACGAAUAAGCAUCGGCUAACUCCGUGCCAGCAGCCGCGGUAAUACGGAGGAUGCAGGCGUUAUCCGGAUUUAUUAGGUUUAAAGGGUGCGCAGGCGGCCCGGUAAGUCAGUGGUGAAAGUUUGCAGCUUAACUGUAAAAUUGCCAUUGAUACUGUCGGGCUUGAAUAUAGUAGAGGUAGGCGGAAUGUGUAGUGUAGCGGUGAAAUGCUUAGAUAUUACACAGAACACCGAUUGCGAAGGCAGCUUACUAUGCUAUUAUUGACGCUGAGGCACGAAAGCGUGGGGAGCGAACAGGAUUAGAUACCCUGGUAGUCCACGCCGUAAACGAUGAUUACUGGUUGUGUGCAAUACACAGUGCGCGACUGAGGGAAACCAUUAAGUAAUCCACCUGGGGAGUACGUUGGCAACAAUGAAACUCAAAGGAAUUGACGGGGGCCCGCACAAGCGGAGGAACAUGUGGUUUAAUUCGAUGAUACGCGAGGAACCUUACCUGGGCUUAAAUGUAGAGUGCAUUAUUUGGAAACAGAUAUUUCCUUCGGGACUCUUUACAAGGUGCUGCAUGGUUGUCGUCAGCUCGUGCCGUGAGGUGUCGGGUUAAGUCCCAUAACGAGCGCAACCCCUAUCGUUAGUUGCUAGCAGGUAAUGCUGAGGACUCUAACGAAACUGCCGGUGUAAACCGAGAGGAAGGUGGGGAUGACGUCAAAUCAGCACGGCCCUUAUGUCCAGGGCUACACACGUGUUACAAUGGCCGGUACAAUGGGCAGCUACCUGGCAACAGGAUGCUAAUCUCCAAAGCCGGUCCCAGUUCGGAUCGGAGUCUGCAACUCGACUCCGUGAAGUUGGAUUCGCUAGUAAUCGUAUAUCAGCAAUGAUACGGUGAAUACGUUCCCGGGCCUUGUACAUACCGCCCGUCAAACCAUGGAAGCUGGGGGUGCCUGAAGUACGUUACCGUAAGGAGCGUCCUAGGGUAAAACUAGUGACUGGGGUUAAGUCGUAACAAGGUA
rnacentral:rRNA from 1 species